rnacentral:rRNA from 1 species
GCCCAGACUCCUACGGGAGGCAGCAGUCGGGAAUAUUGCGCAAUGGAGGCAACUCUGACGCAGUGACGCCGCGUAUAGGAAGAAGGUUUUCGGAUUGUAAACUAUUGUCCACAGGGAAGAAAAAGACUGUACCUGUGAAGAAAGCUCCGGUUAACUACGUGCCAGCAGCCGCGGUAAUACGUAGGGAGCAAGCGUUAUCCGGAUUUAUUGGGUGUAAAGGGUGCGUAGACGGGAUAACAAGUUAGUUGUGAAAACCCUCGGCUCAACUGAGGAACUGCAACUAAAACUAUUAUUCUUGAGUGCAGGAGGGGAAAGUGGAAUUCCUAGUGUAGCGGUGAAAUGCGUAGAUAUUAGGAAGAACACCAGUGGCGAAGGCGGCUUACUGGACUGUAACUGACGUUGAGGCUCGAAAGCGUGGGGAGCAAACAGGAUUAGAUACCCGAGUA